AGCGUCGUUAAGGGGUUAAGGGACAGUAUAGUCAGCAGAACAACUAUAGAUAUUGUAUUUGAUCUGGUGAGUAUAAUCAUUCCCUUUAGGCUUUUUGCAGUAAACACUGUCUUUUCAGAACAAAUGCAGUGUUUACAUUACAGCCUAGGGAUACCUCCACUGGCCACUCCUCAGAUAGCUGUUAGAGAUGCUUCCUGGGGCAGUGCUGCACAGUGUGACUGACAUUCAGUAUCUCCUCCCUCUGCAUGCAGACACUGAGCUUUCCUCAUAGCGAUUCAUUGAUUCACUGUAUCUCUAUGAGAAGAUGCUCAUUGGCCAAGGCUGUGUUUGACUUGUGUUGGCUCUGCCCCUGAUCUGCAUUGCGAUUGGAUCACACCAUUUAGGGGGAGAGGGGGAGGCUAAAUGUUGUUUUAAACACUAUAGGGUCAGGAAUAUAUGAUUCAAUGAAUGCAGCUUCAGAGCCUCC